rnacentral:tRNA from 2 species
GCCGAGGUAGCUCAGUUGGCAGAGCAGUGCAUUCGUAAUGCACAGGUCGAGAGUUCGACUCUCUCCCUCGGCU